UUGGGUAGAAGUCCUGACUGGGAGACUGAAACGGGGAAAACAAAGGAAGCAUGAGGGGAUUUUUCUCAGCUGUUCACUGGGGACCCUGGUGGAUCUCUUGGAGGUAAAACAGAACAAAAGGCCAUCCUGAACACCCCCAAAAUGACACCUAAAGGGUAAAUAGUCGGCAUAGUGGAACACUGCCAAGACUCUGUUUAAGCACUACAGCUGGCAUCUAUUUGGUUGUAGACCCAUGGCAAGUAGGCUGUUGAAAAAUAUAGACUGCUACCCC